CAGGAGCGCCGGCUGUGGGGAUGGUGUUUCUCCCGCCGGGGGUGGCUGGCUCACCCUGGCACUGCACCGCAGUGGGGGUGGACCGGAUGCCGCUGAACUGCCUGGACUUUCAAGAGGUAAAUUCCGAGGAGAUUCUAGAAGCCAGACCUCGGAGUGGGGGAGGUGCUAGGCCUCCCUCCCACCUGGAUAACCUGACCCGGAGCCUGGGGAAGCUGGCUCGGCACCCCCAGCCCUGACCUCUCCUCGUGGGCCUGGCACGGCAGGCUCUGGGCACAGCCAGGACCCCCAGGGCCUCAGUCUAGCCCCUCAUUUUCCAAGGAGGCAACCGAGGCCCAGCCAGGCUUUCAAGGCUGGGCAGAGCCAGCCUGGAACUCAAGUCCCCAACAACUCCCAGUCAUGGAAUGUUGUACAAGAGGAUUCUGGCAGCCAACCCUGACAUCUUUAAAAAUGUUCUUUCUGGCCCUUAACUACUGGGGCACCACAGUUCCUCGGCUGUCUGUCUUUGUGCUGGGCUGUGCCUGGCUUUGUCUGUAGCUGUCAGUCCUAUUUUGUCCGCUAGGAACAAGGCCAGGGCAGCCUCUGUGAUCCCCUCGAGCUGGCCAGUCUUCCCUGACCCUUCCCUCUCGGCCCCUGGCCUUGCUGUAGUCAUGUCCAUGGACACCUCCUGCCCACCCUGGCGGGCACCACUGUGUGGACACAGUCCUGGGAGGGGUGGGGGGCACCACUUUGGGAACGGAGGGUCUGAACUCUGCCCUGUCUUUGAGCCUUUGUUUUCCUUGUGUGCAGACGAGUGCUCCAGCCAGGUCCUCUCCAAAGUCUCGGCCCCCUGCCUGGUGCAAUCUCUGCCUGACAAACCCGGCCCCCCGAAGUGCUCUCACUCCUUCAAGUCUCAUUUUGUUAACAGGGGGCUGUUCUUGUGGAGGGUCCCACACCCAUUGUCUUAGCUGACCCCACAGCAGGCAGGUGGGGAGGGCAGGGAUCUUCUGCCCACUCUGAGGACAAGGAGACAGCCUGGAAGGGGUGGCUGGAGGGUCUGGCUCUGUCCUUUCCGCUGCGCUGGGCCAGGAGCAGGAUCCCAGUUGCCCGACUACCCUGUAGUCCACACCUGGAGGAUGCUGUCACUCAUGAGUGCCCCGGACCUGGGGCGCUGUCCUGGCACUUAGCACCCCUUCCAGAUGAGGGGGCAGCCCAAGCAGGCACCUAGCAGGUGGGAGACAGAGCUGGGCCUGGCACCAACCUGGCUUCCUUCGAGGCUUUAUGGGUCCCGGGGGCAUCUGGGAAAACUCUUGAGUUGGGUUUUGGUAGCAGGAACGGGUCAGGCCCCACAUCCCAAGCAGAGGUCGUGGGGACUGGGAGGCAGCUCGCUGCCCUAAGAGGACGGUACUGGGGCCCCAGGCCCAGAGAUGAGCCUCGUCCCACCCCACGUGAUACACCCCUCCCCCUGCACGCGGCAGGCCCCUCACAGGGCUCUACUCCAGUGGCGUGUGCUGGCGGCUGGGGAGGCCCGAGAGGAUGGUGGUUCCAUGGAAAUGGGAGAGUGGACACUGUCCAGGGCGCCGGUCCCAGCCCCAGGGCCAGCGAGGUCAAGGUCUCCUUGCUGGGCCUUCCUUCCACUAGGGGUGACCACAGGAGGUGGUGUGAAUGCCCGCAGGGGCUGUUCUGAUCAAGUCCACUCAGCCUCUCCCUGUCUGCGUGUCAAGGGCACGCCAGCAGGCAGGGCACUCCCUGCACCGCCGCACAAACCGGCAUCUUCUUCGUCCUGACUUGAGUGGCCUCCA
rnacentral:lncRNA from 1 species